GAUGAACGCUGGCGGCGUGCCUAAUACAUGCCAGUCGAGCGAACAGACGAGGAGCUUGCUCCUCUGACGUUAGCGGCGGACGGGUGAGUAACACGUGGAUAACCUACCUAUAAGACUGGGAUAACUUCGGGAAACCGGAGCUAAUACCGGAUAAUAUAUUGAACCGCAUGGUUCAAUAGUGAAAGACGGUUUUGCUGUCACUUAUAGAUGGAUCCGCGCCGCAUUAGCUAGUUGGUAAGGUAACGGCUUACCAAGGCAACGAUGCGUAGCCGACCUGAGAGGGUGAUCGGCCACACUGGAACUGAGACACGGUCCAGACUCCUACGGGAGGCAGCAGUAGGGAAUCUUCCGCAAUGGGCGAAAGCCUGACGGAGCAACGCCGCGUGAGUGAUGAAGGUCUUCGGAUCGUAAAACUCUGUUAUUAGGGAAGAACAAAUGUGUAAGUAACUAUGCACGUCUUGACGGUACCUAAUCAGAAAGCCGCGGCUAACUACGUG
rnacentral:rRNA from 1 species